rnacentral:rRNA from 1 species
CGAAAAAGUACUAUACAAUUAAAUAAAAAUAGGUGAAACAAAAGAAUAAGCGAAGAAGAAGCAAAUGCGCUUCACGCUAAUUCCAAGUACCAACACAAAACAAAUUCAAUGUUUGGUGAAGCAACUUGCUUAGUGGCGGACGGGUGAGUAACGCGUGAACAAUCUGCCCCGUACAAAGGGAUAGCCUCGGGAAACCGGGAUUAAAACCAUAUAACACUUAACUGCCGCAUGGUAGUGAAGUCAAAUCGAUUAAGAGGUAUGGGAUGAGUUCGCGUCUGAUUAGCUAGUUGGUGAGGUAAGGGCUCACCAAGGCGAUGAUCAGUAGCCGGCCUGAGAGGGUGAACGGCCACACUGGAACUGAGACACGGUCCAGACUCCUACGGGAGGCAGCAGUGGGGAAUAUUGCACAAUGGAGGGAACUCUGAUGCAGCGACGCCGCGUGAGUGAAGAAGGUCUUCGGAUCGUAAAACUCUGUCCUUGGUGAAGAAAAGGACGGUAGCCAAGGAGGAAGCCCCGGCUAACUACGUG